GGAGAGGUGGCAGAGUGGUCGAUCGCAUCCGACUUGAAAUCGGAAGACUAGCAAUAGUCCGGAGGUUCAAAUCCUCUCCUCUCCG
rnacentral:tRNA from 1 species